GAUGAACGCUGGCGGCGUGCCUAAUACAUGCAAGUCGAGCGAACGGACGAGAAGCUUGCUUUUCUGAUGUUAGCGGCGGACGGGUGAGUAACACGUGGAUAACCUACCUAUAAGACUGGGAUAACUUCGGGAAACCGGAGCUAAUACCGGAUAAUAUUUUGAACCGCAUGGUUCAAAAGUGAAAGACGGUCUUGCUGUCACUUAUAGAUGGAUCCGCGCUGCAUUAGCUAGUUGGUAAGGUAACGGCUUACCAAGGCAACGAUGCAUAGCCGACCUGAGAGGGUGAUCGGCGACACUAGAACUGAGACACGGUCCAGACUCCUACGGGAGGCAGCAGUAGGGAAUCUUCCGCAAUGGGCGAAAGCAUGACGGAGCAACGCCGCGUGAGUGAUGAAGGUCUUCGGAUCGUAAAACUCUGUUAUGAGGGAAGAACAUAUGUGUAAGUAACUGAGCAGAUCGUGACGGUACCUAAUAAGAAAGCACCGGCUAACUACGUG
rnacentral:rRNA from 1 species